AACGCAGAAGUUCGCCGAUCAGUCUUGAGGAGUUCUCCAAAGCAACGUCACUUGAAUCGCAUAUCGCGUCAUCGCUGAGUCUUGACCGUUAAUCGACAAUGACAAUAUUGAACGUGAAUAUUGCCUCGGACAAUUUCGAGCAUCCCUCGGUAGUCGCCGAUUUGCCAAGUAGUUGAAAUUUUGCGUAAGCAAAAUUUUACGGUGAUUAUUAGGUUGUUCGCAUCGAGAGUUACGUCGCAUUGUGCUUUAUCAUGUCUGUAUAUAAAUGUAAUUAUUAUUUUAAUAUUUAAUUUGACAUUUUUUUAAUGCUGUCACAAAAACAGUAAUCUGGUGCGAUUGGUGGAUGCUGGAAUUCUAUUUAUGGAGAAAUAGUGGAUUUAUCACAGAGGAAAGUUUAAUCUUUAAAAAUUUGAGGUAUAGCAAACAAAUAUCUUUUCAUUGAGAGAAGCUCCACAAUACCAAGCAUCGAAAUGGAACUCGUGGCUACGACAGUGUCCGAGAGGCCGUUUGGUCACGACCUUUAAGAAGAUAUGUCUACGGUUACACGAUAAUGACGAUCGGCUUGAGGCCACUGCACAUUUGAGUAACUUCAUAUUAGAUAUAACAUGCUAGGAAAUUUGCUAAUCUGUGGAAAUUGCAAGGAAGUAAAAAUUAUGCUUUGGAUUUCAUUGAUAGUUCCGUGAUGUGUUGCAACGGUUCCGUGGAACGGCGCUUCAGAUUGUUCUGCUCGCAAUUCGGGGAUGAUCCGGAAGGCGAGAG